rnacentral:rRNA from 1 species
GGGGGAUAUUGCGCAAUGGGGGCAACCCUGACGCAGCAACGCCGCGUGAAGGAUGAAGGUUUUCGGAUUGUAAACUUCUUUUAUUAAGGACGAAAAAUGACGGUACUUAAUGAAUAAGCUCCGGCUAACUACGUGCCAGCAGCCGCGGUAAUACGUAGGGAGCAAGCGUUGUCCGGAUUUACUGGGUGUAAAGGGUGCGUAGGCGGCUUUGCAAGUCAGAUGUGAAAUCUAUGGGCUCAACCCAUAAACUGCAUUUGAAACUGUAGAGCUUGAGUGAAGUAGAGGCAGGCGGAAUUCCCCGUGUAGCGGUGAAAUGCGUAGAGAUGGGGAGGAACACCAGUGGCGAAGGCGGCCUGCUGGGCUUUAACUGACGCUGAGGCACGAAAGCGUGGGUAGCAAACAGGAUUAGAUACCCUGGUAGUCCACGCUGUAAACGAUGAUUACUAGGUGUGGGGGGUCUGACCCCUUCCGUGCCGGAGUUAACACAAUAAGUAAUCCACCUGGGGAGUACGGCCGCAAGGUUGAAACUCAAAGGAAUUGACGGGGGCCCGCACAAGCAGUGGAGUAUGUGGUUUAAUUCGAAGCAACGCGAAGAACCUUACCAGGUCUUGACAUCCAACUAACGAAGUAGAGAUACAUUAGGUGCCCUUCGGGGAAAGUUGAGACAGGUGGUGCAUGGUUGUCGUCAGCUCGUGUCGUGAGAUGUUGGGUUAAGUCCCGCAACGAGCGCAACCCUUGCUAUUAGUUGCUACGCAAGAGCACUCUAAUAGGACUGCCGUUGACAAAACGGAGGAAGGUGGGGACGACGUCAAAUCAUCAUGCCCCUUAUGACCUGGGCUACACACGUACUACAAUGGAUGUUAACAGAGGGAAGCAAGACAGCGAUGUGGAGCAAACCCCUAAAAACAUUCUCAGUUCAGAUUGCAGGCUGCAACCUGCCUGCAUGAAGAUGGAAUUGCUAGUAAUCGCGGAUCAGCAUGCCGCGGUGAAUACGUUCCCG